AUGAAACUGAAACACCUCUCAUUUUAGUGUGGGAGGUUUCAUGCCUGAAUUGGACUAGCCUGGUGGCCAAUCUUCAUGAAUUGCACAUUGCAACAGUAAGAGCAGAGUGUGAAGGUCCAAUUAGCAGGGUAAGAGCACAGUUUUGCUCAAAAUAUUGCAAUGCACAUAACAUUAUUUGGGACAUACUGGAGUUCAAAAGAGGGCAAAUUGUUCACCAAGACAGCAAGUCUUUGUGAUUAUCAAGAGCCACAGUAUCCAGGGUAAUGUCAGCAUACCACCAAGAAUGACGAACCACAUCUAACAGGAUUAACUGUGGAUGCAAGAUGAAGCUGUCUUAAAGAGAUGUUUGGGUGCUAACCUGGAUUGUAUCCCAAAAACAUAAAACCACGGUGCCCAAAUCACGGUAGAAUUAAAUGUGCACCUCAACUCUCCUGUUUCCACCAAAACUGUCCGUCGGGAGCUCCACAUGGUCAAUAUACACAGCCGGGCUGCUAUAGCCAAACUUUUGGUCACUCGUAUCAAUGCCAAACGUCGGUUUCAAUGGUGCAAGGAGCGAAAAUCUUGUGCUGUGGACAAUGUGAAACAUGUAUUGUUCUCUGAUGAGUCUACCUUUACUGUUUUCCCCACAUCCGGGAGAGUUACGGUGUGGAGAAGCCCCAAAGAUGCAUUCCAGCCAGAGUGUUGUAUGCCAGAGUGAAGCAUGGGGGUGGAUCAUUGAUGGUGUGGGCUGCCAUAUCAUGGCAUUCCCUUGGCCCCAUACUUGUCCAAGACGAAUUGAUGCUGUAUUGGCCUCAAAAGGAGGCCCUACACCACGCUAAUAAGUUAUUGUGGUCUAAAACCAGGUGUUUCAGUUUCAUUGUCCAACCCCUGUAGUUAACCUGUCACUUUCAAAAUUUUGACUGUAUGUCAAAGCAAAAGCUGCAAGAGCAAGAUUCUCAAAACUUGGAAAGAAUUACCCGAGAUGUCAGCUUUAUAGUCUUUGCCAAGGCAAUUGUUACUCAGCUGGCCUCUAAUGGAGUUGAUGUAAGGUAAAUUGUAGAAUUUAAUUUUUUCCUUGUAGGAAACCUCGACGAUAGUAAAGGUUGGUGACCUUGACCAUUGUCGAGGUCUCCAGGACGAAGGUGACCUCGUCUUGGAGAUCACCCAAGGAUAUAUUUUGCUGAUAGAACAGAACAUCCAUGUCUUCCUAAUGUUUGAACCUAAAACAUGUUCACUGUGUGAUAUCUAUGCCUGGCUCAUUUACAAACAAUAGGCUUCCAGAGGACCAGGAUAUUAAAACAUUAAAAAUAAUUCUACAAUGCUUUAUUUUUUUAAACCAGUUCAGUAUUGCUCUAGCCACACUUUGAACCCUUAACAUUUUUUCAUGUUAUUAUUUUAUGCUAGAACAGUCCAGUCCAGUCUCCAAGCCAGUACGCAUGAGUGGGCCCCCCUUGGGUUUGUAGUAGGCCAUAUGGGUAAUGAGUGGUCAUGGGUUUUAUCUGGGCAAACCUCAUGGGACACAUAUGGUUAACUAAAAUGGGACCCCUAUGGGCUGGCCCAUUUGGGCUAAAUGUAUGGGCCCUAUUCAGCAACAAUGUGGGCUAACUGGAAAUGGGACAGAAAUGGGCAACACUAUUUGGGGCCCAUGUGGUUUCAGUAUCAUGGGCCCCACAUGAGAAGCCCAAUGUGGGCUGUCCACAUUAAACUAACAUGACAUGAGCAUGGGCUAACCAUACAUGGGUUGGACCUGGGCAGGAAAAUGUAGCCCCUAGUACUUUUUUUCAUGGUCUAAAUGGGACAAAAUUGUAGAACAUUUUAAUCGACAAUGUGGUUACCCUGUCACUUUCAAACUUUUCACUGUAUGUCAAAGCAAAAGCCAGUUCAGUAUUGCUCUUGCUACACUUUGAACCCCUAACUUUUUUUUCAUUUUAUUAUUGCAGUCUGAAUGUCUUAAAACAUUUUUUUGAAAUAAUCUGUUUGAAAUAUAUACGUAAACUCAUAUUCUGGUGCUUACUCAAAAUUAAGCACAGAGUGGUCAUGGUUGAGCUUUAGUCCUUGUUUUAUUUUUAAUAAUAAUAACUUUUUAUUUUAUUUUUAUUAUUAUUUUUUAUCAAUUGGAUGUUUAGACAUCCAUAGAGUUUACUGCAGCCUGUUCGCAGCAAGAUUUAAAUUUUUAUUUGGACAAAUAGUUCAGAUCAGACCAUUGUGAAAAAUAUCACAAAAUGUUUAGAAAAUAAACAAAACUCAUUAGCAAGUGAGAGACAAGAGUAAAAUUUUGAGCAUCUGUUUUUUCAUAUAUUUGCAAACAUUUUCCAAGUCAUCAGUAUAAAUAAAAAUAAAAAAUAAAAAAACGUAACAUUUCUGUUAAUGAUUCAUUUGGUUCCAAUUACCUUUUUGUUCAUUGUUUGCUCUGAGGCACCGUUGCCAAUAAAGGUUGGUGAAUUGAAGUACCGGUAGGCACUUUACACAUCCACUGAAGAAAAUAGUUCCAAAACAUAUUUGAAUAAGGAGGACAACGAAAUGUAUUUAUUUACAUUGAGAACUUUUGCUACAUCGGUUUUACAUUUGUUAAACCGAUGUAGCACUCUCAAAAAUUAAUCUUGUGUUUCUUGGAAAACGUAAAAUGACCCGCGGAUGGAUAUGCGGUUUCAAAAUCAAGCCUGUUCUCUUCAUCAGUCCGUUGGCGCGGAGUCUGCCUGUUGGCUGAUCUACGAAAGAAUCUGUAAGUACAUUUCUUCUGUUUUACCUAGUACCAAAUUUUAGGGAGAGAUUUUAAAUCGCUUGUUAAAAAAAUUGUUGCUCGUAACAAAUCGGACGACAGUAUCCCAAAAGAGACUUAAUUGUUAUUGUUAUUUUUGCUUUUCUUUAGGGUGAUACUUUUUCUGAUAUUGCUAACACACACAGCUACACACAAUAAGCAGAUUUUAGUGCAGACCGAUUUCAAACGCAGCGUUGUGGGCCAAACCAUUUUCAAAUACCGCCGCCAUUCUAUUUGUUGAGCUGCCAUUGGUUCAUUUGAGCGCCAACGAGGCAGAAUGAAAUCGGUUCACUGAAGAAUCUAUGUUGCUAGCAGAGGUUGUUACAAAGUGUCUGGACACAAUAAAACCAUUUGUAUGAUUUAAAAAGAGUAACUAUUGUGCUUUCAUUCUAUGUACUUGGGCUUUUAAUAAUCUUUCUCACAGUCACAUCAGCAUGCAUGGGUGGGUCUCAUGUAUGGAUUCAGGCUGGUUUGGCUGGGACCCAUGCAAGAUUAUUAUUGUCGUUUUUUUCAAUAAAACUGCAUUGAAUCGUUUAGCUUUGGGCUAUAUAGGUAAUGAUAAGAGGGCAUGGGUUUUAUCUGGGCCAACUGCGUGAGGCUCAAAAGGUUAACCGAAAUGGGACUCAUAUUGUUGGCUCAAUUGGGUUAAAUGUAUGGGCCCAAUUCAGCAUUAACGUGGGCUAACCGGGCAUGGGACAGAAAUGGGAACACUAUAUGGGGCCCAUGUGGUUUCAGUAUAUUGGGCCUAAAAGGUUUUUUGUAAAUAGGAUGAAGGCAUUGUAGUUCAUAUUUUUAAAUUCUUUUUUUAAUUGUUGUGUGACACUUUAAAGCGUUUUGUUAUGUCAUAGUUUAUUUCAAUCUGCCGCUAUUGUGUUGGUCUAGAGUAGUCAUCAGUGUCAGGGUUCCUGUGUGUGUAUGUGAGUGUCGCAUCUUAUUUCAGCGAGGAUCUUUGUGAGGAGCCCGUGGAGCUUGGCACAGGUGGAGGAGCAGCAGAAUCUUCAGUCUACGCUAGAUUGACUGAAGAUUCUACUGGUGUAUGCUAGAUGGUUGCAUACACCGGUAGUCACUCUGGCCUCUCCUGUUGUGAACAGUUUUCUGAGAACGUUUCUGUGUCUACUAGAAGUCACCUGGUCUCUGUGUUUGUUCGAUCCUAGGGGUUUUGUCGCCUCAUUCGAGAACUCACCAGUGAAUACCUGCCUGCUCGCUCCGCCGAUUCCACUGCCUCCACUCCACCCUUCGAGCUUCCAGCUCUCUUCCAUUCCCACCUCGCAUUUACCUUCGGAACCGCUGCACACCCUCUCUCAGGAACCUGGCAUCUCACACCCACGCCUCGAAAGACCCGCACCGAAGCUUCAAGAGGAUCAGCGUGUGAAGAUCACUUUAUAAUGAUUUGAAAAAGGUUGCCAUGGCUACAGAAAUUGGAGGAGCAUCCUUAGAUGACACAAUACAACCAGCUGUGCGAUUCCUCAUGUCCCAUGAACUGGAAGUCCAGUUCAACCUUUUUGGCCAACAUUGGAAACAAGCUCUUGGACCUGCGUCUCUUUGAUGUUUUGUAUGGGGACUUAAAAGAAAUUAUCCAUCUACAGAAUCACACAAGCAUACAGCAAAGACUCUCGAAGUGGUUUACUGGAGCCCGAGUGGAAGUGGAAAUAGACUAGAGAGACUGCCAGUUCAAACUCAGGUUGGGGAGGUCUUUCAAGAUGGACAGUUUCAGUAAAGUAUGAGAGAUUUCAAAUUUAAGCAUGCAUAUGGCAUGUAGGUUAUUUUUAAAAAUGUUUAACAAAAAUGUAUUGUGAAAGAUCUAUAUAGGUGUGUAUAUUCACAUUGUGUGUAUCAAUGUGAAUAUACGUGUAUAAAGUUAUAUAGAUAGUAUUUAGAUGUAUACAUUUAUAGACCUGUAGGAAAAUAUGUAGGUGUCUUUAUUUGUGUGCAUCUAUAGAUAUAUAUUUAUAGAUCUGUUUAUAAGUUUGUUAUAGUAAACUAGCUUCUGUUAUUUUCAAAGAUGUCGUGAAUAAUUGCAGAUUUCUUUUUGUGGCACCAUUCCCUGAGUAUUAAUGAAGUUCUAAUAAUUGCUGUAGUGAGGUAAAAAAUAACUCCUGACAAUAUUUUAAAUUACUAAAUAAAAGCCUUGAGCAAAAUAAA